AAUCCGCCAACCCGUUUAAAAUUUUAAAGAAAAAUUACUGGAUAUCCUAAAUCAUUUUGGGCUUUAUGGUUUGGGCUUCUCUUCUUCUCUACUCAUAUAUAAAGAAAAACCCUAAAAAUCUCUCACAAAUUCACUCUCACGGUCUCCCCUCUCUCAGUCUCUCCUCUCUAACUCUCGCACUCACUCAUUCUCUCACUAUGACUUAAACCCACCGCGCCGCCGCUUGUUGGUUUCCACUCACCCACCACGCCCCUCGUCGGUCUCCGGCUCUCCGCUCACCGCGCCGCUCUCUCACUCACUCAGUCACUCUAAUUCAAUGCAGUACAUUGUUGAAGGUGGAAGAUCAAGUUGAUGUGCUUUGUGACUGUGGAUACUCAACCCUCACCCUGCUUCACCAGGAACUCCAACAAGUUUGAUGCUUAGAUAGGGCUAGCGUAUUAUAAACUAGCAUUGAACAAUUACAUAUAUGAGUUUGUAUUUGAAUUUUAGUUUUAUGUCAAGAAUUUCGGAUUUGGUAAUGUAGUAAGCCUUAAUUUCGGAUUUGGUGACUUAUUAAGACUUAAUGACUUGUAACAAUGCAUUCAUUAAUUGCAAAUAUUGCCAAUUCGAUUCA